UGCCCUAGUAACGGCGAGUGAAGCGGCAACAGCUCAAAUUUGAAAUCUGGCUCUUUCAGAGUCCGAGUUGUAAUUUGCAGAGGGCGCUUUGGCGUUGGCAGCGGUCCAAGUUCCUUGGAACAGGACGUCACAGAGGGUGAGAAUCCCGUACGUGGUCGCUGGCCUUCGCCGUGUAAAGCCCCUUCGACGAGUCGAGUUGUUUGGGAAUGCAGCUCUAAAUGGGAGGUAAAUUUCUUCUAAAGCUAAAUACUGGCCAGAGACCGAUAGCGCACAAGUAGAGUGAUCGAAAGAUGAAAAGCACUUUGGAAAGAGAGUCAAAUAGCACGUGAAAUUGUUGAAAGGGAAGCGCUUGCAGCCAGACUUGCCUGUAGUUGCUCACCCGGGCUUUUGCCCGGUGCACUCUUCUGCGGGCAGGCCAGCAUCAGUUUGGGCGGUUGGAUAAAGGUCUCUGUCAUGUACCUCUCUUCGGGGAGGCCUUAUAGGGGAGACGUCAUGCAACCAGCCUGGACUGAGGUCCGCGCAUUUAUGCUAGGAUGCUGGCGUAAUGGCUGUAAGCGGCCCGUCUUGAAACACGGACCAAGGAGUCUAACAUCUAUGCGAGUGUUUGGGUGUCAAGCCCGAACGCGUAAUGAAAGUGAACGGAGGUGGGACCCCAUUAGGGUGCACCAUCGACCGAUCCUGAUGUCUUCGGAUGGAUUUGAGUAAGAGCAUGGCUGUUGGGACCCGAAAGAUGGUGAACUAUGCUUGAAUAGGGUGAAGCCAGAGGAAACUCUGGUGGAGGCUCGCAGCGGUUCUGACGUGCAAAUCGAUCGUCAAA
rnacentral:rRNA from 1 species